rnacentral:ncRNA from 1 species
UCCUGACUUCUGGCACACUGCCUGAAGACACUGACCCACGACAGGAGAAUUCUAUG